GAGAAUUUAGUAGUACAUUUGUUUUUUUUUUGUAACAAAUGUAAAAUAUUACCAUAACAAAACCGUCUCAGUACAAAUACAGAGCACCUCAUCCUAUCAUAGGGGUAGGCCUCCAACAAGCAGCAACAGCAACCAAAUAUAACAUCUACAUUAGCUAACUAAGUGUUGAAUCCAAUUCCUACAUCUCUGAGCUUUCUUUGAAUUCCUGUGCAAAUUAAUCCUCUCUAAGAGCUCCUUCUUAAUCAUUGUAAUUACCUCAUCUAUAUUUACAGCUUUGCCUUUGUAUCUCUUCCAGUUUCGGGCCCUCCAUGUAUGAUAGAUUAUGGCACCAUGUAAAGCUGCAACCGCCUCUUUCAUGAAUUUCUUCCAGUGCUUCCUUUGUAUAUUGAUCAAGACUUGUUGUACAUCCUUAUGUUGCACUGCCACUCCAGUCCAUUGGUUGACUUUGUGCCACACUUCCCAUAUCCAGGAACAUUCUACAAACAAAUGAAUCUUCGUCUCUAUCUCAUUGGCCUCACAAAGACAACAAUCGGCAUUAGCGUUAUCCACCGGUAUGUUUAGCCGUAUAUUCCUUUCCCGAGUGAGUAAUCUACCUUGUACUUCCAACCAUACUAUGAAUCUAUGUUUUGGUAAAGCAACAGAUGUCCAUAUCAGUUCUGCAACUCUCAUUUUAACUCUUUGCAGUAUUAUUUCCAUAUAACUCUUUGUUAUUGAGUAGGCUCCAUCCUUUGUUAAUUCUUAUCUACCUUGCACAUACCAACUCUGCAUUUAAGUCUUUAGAGAAUUUAGUUUUCUCCAAUACCAGCUGCUGUCAGGAGGAUACUUGCAUCAUCCUUGAGGUACAACCCGUGUAUCCACCUUACCCAGAGUGUCUCCUUGUGCAUUGAAAUUUGCCAAAUCAGUUGGUCUACUGAUGCUACAUUCCAUGAUUUACAGCCUUUUAUAUUCAGUCCACCCUGACUCUUAGGAUAAAAUACAUUUUCCCAUGAUGCCAAAGCCAUCUUCCUCCCUUCAUCCUUGCUUCCCCACAAAUAAUCUCUACACUUUUUAUCUACUUCUUUAAGUACACUUUGAGGAAGGAUAAAAACAGCUCCCCAAAAACUAUGGAUAGAAAAUAAUACUGUAUUUAUCACCUGUAACCUCCCAGCAUAAGACAAAUUUUUGGAGUAAGUCACAUUGAUUCUCUGUAUAAUCUUGUCCACGAGUGUAUGGCAAUCAACCUUGUUCCAUUUUUAGGAGAAAGAGGGAGACCAAGAUAUCUGAUAGGAAAUGCACCUUCUACAAAUCUAGUUCUUGCCAAUAUCUGAUUCUUUAUUUCCUCAUUUACUCCAGCCAGAAACACACUUGAUUUGUCAAUAUUAGCUUCCAAACAUGUAGCUGCACUAAAGUGUUGUAAAGCCUCCAUUAUUCUACUCACAGAAUCUAUAUUUCCCUUACAGAAUAUCAUCAAAUCAUUAGCAAAGAUCAAGUGAGUUAGUCUUAACUCCUUACACAUUGGAUGGAAUCUGAAAUCAGGUAACAUGCUUAUAGUUUGCAGUGUUCUCGAUAGGUAUUCCAUCUCUAGGACAAAUAAGAGGGGAGACAUUGGAUCGCCUUGCCUAAGCCCCCUCCCCCUAAGAAGUAGCCAUGAUUUGCACCAUUAACUUUCACUGAGAACUUAGUGGUUGACACAUAUGUCAUAAUCCAUUUAGUAAACUAUUACAGAAAUCGGAAACCUUGAAGUACUUCUUCCAAGAAAUCCCAGUGUACCAUGUCAUAGGCUUUCUUAAGGUCUAUCUUCACAAGACACCUAGGUAAAGCAUUCUUCCUAUUGUAGUGUCAUAGUAAGUCAUGACAUAUUAACACAUUAUGCAUCAUUGAUCGUUCCUUAACAAAGACUGACUGGUUCCCUGCUACUAAAUAGUUUACUGCAUCUCUUAACCUUUUAUAUAUAAUCUUUGAGAUGCACUUGUAGAUCACAUGGCAACAAGAUAUAGGCCGGAAUUGGCUAGCAGUUUUCAGCCUAUCUACUUUAGGAACAAGUGCAAUACUAGUAGAGUUAAUUUGUGUUAAUAGUUUACCAUUAUGAAAGAACUCCAGCACUGCCUUGGUUACAUCAUUCCCAAAAAUUGUCCAAGCAGCUUUGUAGAAUUCACUACCAUAUCCAUCCAGUCCCGAACUCUUGACACUUUUUAUCUGGAAAAUAGCUUCCUUUACCUCAUCUGACUCAACCUGCAAUAACAUCUGCCUUUGGUGCUCAUUAUCAAGGACUACACCUUGGUUUAUAACUGCAAGUAAUGCAGAUGUUCUAUUCUUUGAUCUCUGACCCAAUAAUUCUUUGUAAUAAUCAACAAAUAAGCUUGCAAUAGUGUCAGGAUUUGUCUGCCAAUCACCUACCUGAUUUUUUAGUUGUGUAAUGGUUUGUUUCAGUUUUUGAUGUUUGAUAACAGAGAAUAAAUAUCUUGAAUUAUCAUCACCCAUUCUUAUCCAAGUUGCCUCGCUUCUUUGUUGUAAGAACACCUCAGCUAUAUAUGAAGAAUUCCUAAAUUUUUUAUAUGUUUGUCUCUCUCUUUCCAGCAAAUGAGCAUCAUCUGGGCUAAGAUGUAGUUUAUUCUGUAUAAGUUUCAAAUUAUUCUUGUCCUUUUGUGCUUCAGUGACUAUAUUUUGGAAAGCCAGAACAUGUAGCUUCCUCAAGCCCCUCUUUAACAAUAUCAACCUCUUCACUACUUUAAACACCAUGCAUCCUUCAUUAUCCACCUCCCAUCCCUCAUUCACCAACCAAAUGAAGUAAGGAUGUUUGGUCCAUACAUUACAGAACUGGAAUGGACUCUUGAACUUAGGAUUAUCCAUUAACAUCACCUUAGCAAGACAGUGAUCACUUAUUCCCUCAUUUAGGAACAUUGCUUGACAAGGUAGCAUUGUAUUCAACCAGACUCCAUUAAUGAAUAUCCAGUCAAUUCUGGAAAAUAUUCUUUGGUGAGAAUGUUUGUCACUCCAUGUAUAUUUAUUACCUGGUGUUGGAAAUUCCAGCAGCCCACAAUCAUGCACACAACUUUUAAAAUCAACUAUUUCAGACCAUACCACAGGAGCUUCACCAAUUCUAUCCUCUGCUUUUAAAAUGGAGUUAAAAUCGCCAAGUAGCAUCCAUGGUUUUGUGCAAAUUCUACUAUGUCUCACUAGACUUUCCCAUAACUCAUGCCUUUCCUCCUUAGUAUUGAAGGCAUAUACGAAUGGAAUAUCAAAAAGUAUUUGCAAGGGAAUGAACAUCACCUCACAAGUGAUUUGUUGAGCAGUUUGGAAAAUGGUUGAGACCUUGUAGUAAUCAGGCCUCCAUGUGAUCCAUAUCCUACCAUUAUAGAGCUCUUCCAAGUUAGUUACGUAGCUCCAACCAGCAAACAUAUUAUCAGUCAUAGUAUCAAUCUUUUUUUUUGUUUCAAGUAAGCCUAUAAGACUCACAUUUUCUUCAUUGCAAAGGAUCUUAACCUCUUUUUGUUUAUUUGGAGCAUUUAGCCCCCUCACAUUACAACUAAUUAUGUUUACCAUUCCCAGGACUAGGAUUUAUAGAGCCACCCUCGGUCCUUGCAUCUCAUGUAGUUACAUGUAAUUCUGCACUAUGUUGUAGCACCUGAAAUGAAUUAACACUCGUUGCCUGACAAACCUGUCCAACGGCUACACUGUAUGGAGUUUUACUUAGCUUUCUCGGAGUCUGCCAGCUAUCUAUGCUUGCACUUGCCACCUCCCUACCCUGCUGAAGGUUCUUCUUAGUCAUUUGAUUUGUCAACACCCUAUCCUGAUUAUCAUUUUUCACCUCAUGUGGAGGAUCCUGCUGAGCAGGUCCUUUCGUAACUACACCUGCAACAUUAAUUGGUUUGGGAACUUUUUUCUUAAUUCUGCAUUCAUUCUCUUCAUAGCCAUACCUCUUACGAAAGUUGCACAAUAAUGGUUUCCAGUCAUAUUGUACAGCUUGCACCACGACCUUUCCUUUUUUAUUUUUAAAUUGCACUUCAUCAGGUAGAUGAGCUCCCAAUUCUACUUCCACAAGCAGUCGAGCAAACUUUAAUCCAUUCCUUUCCUCAGUUUUGUGAUCCACCAUAAGAGGCUUCCCAAUCAUACUUCCAAGUUUACUUAGUACUGAUUUACUCCAAUAUUUAAAAUCUAGCUCCGGAAAUUUGAUCCAGAUUGGGAUAGUUUCCAACUCCUCCUUGGUAAAUUCUAAUUUUGGAGACCACUCCUUGACAAUUAAUGGCUUGUUGUCAAAGUGGUAGAUACCUCCUUGUAAUACCUCUUGUUUCCCUAUCACAGUUUCAACUCGUACUACAAUAACUCCAUUCUUCAACAUAGCUACUCGAUCUAUAUCAUAUUUACCCCCAAAGCCUUUGAAUAUAACGUUGAAUUACCUGGAAUGGUGGGUGUGCCCCCAAAACAUAACGAAUCACUGCUCUACUCUAGUAUUCCACCUUAUAUUUGAUGUCCUCCAUUCCAAUUUCUACUAUCUGCCUAUCUCCAACCUGUGAUGGAGCACAUACUCCAAUUUGUAACCUGCAUUAGCCAAUUUUAAGAUAUUGAAAUUAUCCCAAAUUGACUUCUUCCUAUUCAUCAACUUACUCUCCUCUUCUACUUCAUCUUCCCAGGAACAUUUACUGGCACUUGAUGAUGCCUCCAGUAGCAUACUAGUUGAUCUCGUCACUACUUCACUCCAAAUAGAUGUUGCCUCUCUCUGCUGCAUUUUAUCAGUUACUUUAUUAGCAUGCACUGUUCCAUUGAAUUGCUCCAAUACUGUUUUAUUGAUUUCCUUCGAGUUGUUCCUUCGCAGCUCCAUGGACGAUGAACUGCUCAUUCCUAGAUUAGGGGAGGCUAGGACUUGCUUUGUCCUCAAUUCUCCCGUCCCUUUUGAACCUACUGAUUUGAUGCUUGAAUCCACCAAUUGUGGUAUCAUUUCUUCUUCUUUUGCUUUUUUUGAGUGCUUGCAACUUCCCUCGCUGAGAUGCGCCUUGCAUAAUCUGUGCUUUCUUUACCAUUAGAGCUUUAUGAGAGGGUAAACGACCUCUCUUACCCAUGGUGGGUGCAGGUUUAGCUAACUUGCACCAAGAGAGAAAGCAUACCAGUAGAAAUUCACAUUAAUUACUUAUUCUUCGAAUAAAAACAUACAUUUGUUAUUACUUUGAUGAUCAUAAUAAAAUAUACAAAGGUGACUAUUUAUAAACCAUCAAAUUUAGUUCUAAGGUUAUCAAACUUGAUUUCAAAUUAGCAAGUUGACAAAUAGACAAGUUGGCAAUUUGGCCAACUAAUUAAGUAUUCAAAUCCAAUUUAAACAAGUAAUUUAUGGUCUUCAAAUCCAACUUGACUACUAACUAUUAUCUCUAAUAAAUGACAUUUCACACAUAUACAUGUCACAUGACAUCCAUAUUAUAUAACACUCCUCCUUGGAUGUCCAUUUAUAAAUAAUGUGUCUCGUUAAAACCUUACUAGAAAAAUUCAAUGAGAAAAAGCCUAAUAAAGGAAAAAGAGUACACACAUCUUGUAAUACGCCUUUGGUGUUGCCUCAUUAAAAAUCUUACUAGAAAAAUCCGAUUAGGACAAAACCUUGGUUAAGGAAAAAAAGUACAAAAUGUAUUUUACUCCCCCUGAUGAGAACUUCAGUUUAAUGACUUGAAUUUUUACAUCCCGAUCUUGUGCAUCAUCUUCUUAAAAUUUGCAGCUGAAAGAGACUUGGUGAAUAAAUCAAUCAUACUGCCAUUCGAAUAAAUUUAUUGCACGUUAAUAUCAUCAUUCUUUUGUAGAUCAUGUGUAUAGAAAUUUUUUGAUGGAGUGUGCUUCAUUCUAUCUCUUUUUAAUGAAUCCUCCUUUAAGAUGUGUUAUGCAUGCUGUAUUAUCUUUGUAUAAAAUUGUGGGUACAUUGUCAUAUUUCAAACAAUAUUUUUUUCGAAUGAGAUGUAUCAUGAACCUCAACCAUACACAUUCUCGGCUUGCUUCAUGAAUAACUAUUAACUCAGCAUGAUUUGAUGAAGUGCUUGAUAGUCUGCUUUGUAUAUCUCCAAGAUAUGACAGUAUCCCCAUAUGUCAAUAUAUUGCAUGUUUGAGAUCGAAAUUUAUGUGGGUUAAAUAAAUACCCAGCAUCAAUAUAAUCAACAAGAUCGGGAUUGCAAUCUUUAGAAUAAAAUAAGAUUAUGUGUUUGAUCCCAUUUCGAUGUUUUCUAGUAGGAGCAGAAUUAUACCUUGCUAACAAAUUAAUCGAAAAGGGCUAUGUCAGGCCUUGCAGUAUUUGCAGGAUACACUAGUACAUCAAUUGCACUAAGAUAUGGUACUUCAUAACCAAUUAAAUUUGGCAUAUUUCUUAUGUCAGCAAAUAAUCUAUUGCUUUUGAAAACUCUCAAAGAGUUCGAAUAAUUUUCAAGUUAUAGAUUUAUGCAAUAUAAGGAUUAUAGAUAAGUUUCCCAGAAACUUUUAUAUGCUUCAAACAUUUUGUAUCCUUAACAAGUUUUCAUGUAAAUUUUGUCAAGUGACAAUAUUCAGCAUUUCAUCCGUGACUAGAAUAAAAUAAGAUUAUGUGUUUGAUCCCAUUUCGAUGUUUCAAGAUGCAUUCUUUUAUGUCUUUUCAACGUAUGUUCAUCAAUGGACAAAUAUUUCAUUUGUCAAGCACUCCUAGUAUACAUCAAGUAGUACGCAUUGUUAGCUGCCUCAUUAAAAACCUUGCCAGGAAAAUCCUGUGGAAUAAAACCCCAGCUAAGGAAAAAAAAGUGCAGCGCACGUAUUAUACUCGCAUCGUUUAAAACAUACUUUAUUCUUAUAAAUGAUGCUCCGCAAUUCAUAUGUACACCAACUGCACUAAAACAUAGUACUUACCAAUCAUUUUCAUGAGAUCAAAAUUGAUCUGUUUUCAAGUUAAGCGAUCUUUAUAAUCAUGGGGUAUUCAAUAGAAACGCUUUAUAACCUUUUAAAUCCUUCAAGGAUUUUCAUAUAACUUUUGCCCUCUAGGUAGACAUAAUAAUAAUUUAUUUUAUGUAUUCAAGUUUUUUAAUAUUUUCAGACUGAAAUCAACUUUAUUUCAUCCACCACAGCCACAGGAGAACAAUUCUCCUACAAUAAUGCCAGGAACUUUGUGAAAUCUUUAUGCCCCAAGGCACAAGUCAUAUUUUAUAUCUUACGAAUUUUACUUCUCGCAUAAUAAAUCAUUUGUACCUCACUGCAUUAUACCUCUGGUCUUUGGAUUAUGAGUCCAGAUAUUUAUUUUUUAAGUGAAACAAAUUACUUGAAUUACAUACUUUUAUUUGGCCAAUAAUUUAUCUGUCCAUACUCUUUGACAGAUUUGUAUCCAAGAUCCUCAAUACUAUUUAUAAUGUUGAGCAUUAUAUUAUAUCAAAGAUAUCAUCGAUGAUUGUUUGAUAUUGGUUCCAAUAAGACAUAACUUAAUGAAGAUCUCUUCAUAUUCAUUACUAUUCAGGUACCUGAACCUUUGUCAAGGUUUUAUGAAGUGUUAGGUCGGUUUGAAACCAAUUGGUCUAUCACGCUUCAGGCGUGUCAUAGACUCCGUCCUUUUACGGACUUUUCAUUGGAGCAUUUUACGGUUGAAUUAUCAUAUAGAAUUAGCAAACAUAUCUGACAAUUAGUUUGCAACAUUUUGCAAAUGAAUUAUCUCUUAAACUUCAAGUUCACAUAUAUAUUUUUUAUAAGGAUCUAGAUAAUUCAUUUCAUGCAUAACUUUUAACUAUUAAUCAAAUCUCCUCCUAAUGUUAGGAAACCUAACAUUUAUCCCUAAUCUUAUCUUGAAAUUCAUAUUUGUGCAUUGUGAUGAAGCAAUUGCAUCAUGUGCCGCACAAUGAAAUUUUUAGAUGAAAAUUAUUUGGUUCUUGACCUUGAACUAAUAGUGGUAGGGGAGCCUUGUUGGCUUGAUGCAUAUGAAUGCUACUAUAUUUUAAAUGAUACAUCUCAUACCAAAUUUUUUUGAGGAGAUUUGUUCUAAUAAUCAAUGAUUUAGCUAGAAUUGGAGGCAUACAAUUUCUACUAAACCAACCAGCAUUAUCAACAUAAUUUAUAGUUUGGAACCAUGCUCUUAAUUUAAUAAUUCAAGCAAACAACUUUGCAAAAAUCAAAUUGCAAGUUAAUAGAAAAGCACAUGUGAUCAUAUCAUAGAUGCAUCUAUUAAACUAUAUAAUAGUAAUCGGUCCACAUGGCAGGCGAACGGACCCAUAUUCACCUUUUUAUAUGUUCCAAAAAAUUUAGGGAAUACAUCUCAACCUUUGCUGGUACAAUGAUCAAUUCAUUGUGAGAACAAACAGUACAAGAGAAUUCAUGAAGAAUAUUUUAUUUCUUCAAUAUAUAACCACAUGAAUUCUUAAUUAUUUUUGCAUCAAAUUUCAAUCGGGAUGAUCAACCGUCAUGUCAACUAAUAUUUAUUUCAGUAAAUUUUUAAUUUACCAUUGCAUGUGAUUCUGCCAUCAUGCUCAUAUUUGUGUAUUACAAAUAAGAAGAAAAGCGCGGAUAACCUUUUACGUAAAUAUUUAUAACCCAUGCCGAUUGUAGUAAUAUGAAGAUAUAACAUCUUUCUACUAUUUAUAGUCUCAAAAAAAAUUAUUUUUGGCAAUGUCUUUGAAACUUAAUAAGGUUCUUUCGAGACUUACUACAAUACCAAUAUUAUGAACAAUUUCAUUUCUCCAGAUAGUUACACUGAAGCUCUUUUAGAGCUCUCAAUUAAUUUUGUUUACUACACAUAUUUCACACUCAAUUCAUAUGGUGAACAUCUCCUUCAAGGAGAAAAAUCAUAUAAGUACGAUCAUAAUCUUAAAACAUUAUAUAGGCAAGACUUGUCCAUGAUAAACAUAUCAAAAAUAUUUAUGCCAUACUACAAGUACACGAUCAAUGACCGUUUAUGUCAAAAUAAAUUUUUCUUUAUUUUUCUCAAACCUUCCAUAGAGGUGAGAUAUGACAUUUUUCCAACCAUGCACGAGCAUGUCAGUGUUCAUAGUUUUUAUCAUAUCUUGACACAUUCAUUUAAAUAAUGAUCAAGCAUUAAGGAUGUGCAAAUCUCAUUCUCUUCAAGGAAUGAGUUAUAAUCAUAUGUGCAUGCAUCAUAAAUUUUCAUGAGAAGCCCAUUCUCACGCCAUGAAAUUUAUUACAUUUACAUGACAGACCUUAUCAUCACUUUGAAAGGUCAAGUGCGCCAUCACUUUAUAUUUCUUUGUUUUGAUGGAGGAUUUAUAAAUCUUAUAUCAAAUUAGGUCGCACGAUAAUCACGUGUGCAAUGACCUUUCACACCAUGCCCAUUAGUGGCAAAAAUUACCUUUAUAUUUUGAAGGAUCAUUUGAGAACUCAUAAUGUUCUUCGAAGAAUAUAACCUUCUAAUUCUUUAAGCACAUCUUCGAGAUGGACAAAUCGUUUAUGCCAACUUAUGAACUUAUUUGUACUAGUAAACUCCAAGUUUACCAUGACAUAUGAGUUUUACUUAGUAUAUUUCAGAUUUACUAGAACAUGAAUAAUUUUCAAGUUUGCUAUUUUGGAGUAUAUUUCAUAAUAUUUAUUCUUAAUUAUUCUAUCUUUUAGGGAGGUGUUACUCCUAUCACAUUCACCCCAGGGAAUGGAUCUGUAGUUUUAACAAUUAAAAUUCUCAUUUCCCAGGAAUGAAAUAUAACGAUGUCUUAAGCCUAUCAAAUUAUGAUAGCUUAGAAUAUCCUUCAAGAUAUUGCUCCUUCAUGAGAAAAGCGAGGCGUACAUAUAAUGUAACGAAAUAUUUUGUCCUUGUUACGCCUCUAUUCAUAUUCAUAUAUUCAAUCACAUGUUUUCUGUAACACCCCGUACUUAAUUACGUGCAUUAGCCAUUGUUAUAUGUGUUGGAGUAUAUGUAUUGAUCCUAAGUUAGGUAUAUAUGAGUUUAAGUAUGAGUAUUGAUUAUUUUGAGAUGGUUUCAAGUGUAUAGUUUGAUUAUAGGUGUAUAGGAAUCGACUUUAUUUAUACCGGAAUUUGCUCGUCGAAGUUUCGAUGGUUCCAUACGAAGGUUAUUGAAUAAGCUUUCCAACGAUAUAAAGAUUUCCAAAAACGGAUAAGUUUCGGAUAUAAGCGAGCUCGUUCGAAACUUUAAAACGGUGGCCGGGAUGUGAACAGUAAAUGUGCAGGAAAACUACUGAGGCCUGCCAGUUUUUUGGGUCAACUUUGAACGAUCAUAACUCCCUCAAUAUAAUGAACUGGGAGAGCUACCACAUAUCAAAAGAAAGAUCUUUGAGUCUUUUUUCCAAUGCAAUUGGUUUCAUCCAAAUCCAACAUCUGAGUAAGGAUUUAUACUCGUUUUACUUCAGCCUCUCAAAACAGAUUUUUAGGGUCAACUUCAAACGAUCAUAACUCCUUGUACAGGACGAACUGGGUGGUCUACUUUAUAUGAAAUGAAAUUCCUUUGAAUUAUCUUUCCAACCAAUUUCACCCAAAUCCGAUAUCGGAGCAAAGAGUUAUGGCCGAUUUACUUUAGCCUAUCAAAACAGUCCACCAUGGACAGAUUCGGAUUUACUUAAAUUUUUAAGGGCAAUAUGGUCAUUUUCCAUCACCUCAUGGACGAAAAUUGGUCAUUAUAUACAUAUACUUAGCCUUAUAUCCACCAUUUAUCAUCCAAAUCAUUGAAGAAUAAGAAACCCUAGCCUAAGUUCAACUCCAAUUAUCUUGUGAUUCAACCGUAGAAAAUCCAAAUUGAUUCCGUAGUUGUGUUCACCGUCUCAAGGGCUUCGAGAAGCACCCCUUAUUUGUGCCAACAGGACUUCGAAAUCAAAAGGGCCAUUUUUUUGGUAAGGAUGUAAAUUAUGUUGGUGUUAUUUAUAUGGAUAUGUAUAUAUAUAUAUGCAUGUGAGCAUAAGAAGUAUGUUAUUUGAUUGUUGUUGAAAGAUGAUUGGAAAUGAUGUUGGAUUAUUCUUGUGCAUGGUUGGAUUAUGUUAAAUUGUGAAGGAAUUUGGGGUGAUGAUGUGGUAUUGAUGAUGUGGUAUUGAAAUGAUGAUUAUAUAUAUAUACACACAUAAACCUAUUGUUCAAGUUGGUUUUUGGAAUGUUUUGCAAAUAUUGGUAGUAUGGAAUUAUGGAAGAGAAUUGUGGUGUUGGGUUGCUAAUACUAGAUGCCAAACAUUUCAUUGUAGAUAAGUGAUUUGUAAAGGCGGGAAGUUGUGUUGAAUUGGUAUCUGAAUCUACAACGAGGUAUGUAAAGCAUACUCUAACAAUGUUCUUUGGCAUGAAAACACCAAUGUUCCAUCAAGUAAGAUUCCGAGGUUGUCCAAAAACAUGUAUUGUUCUACGUUACCAACGAAGUUGUUUCCAUUCUAUAAAGUGUCAAAAUGUUUCAUUGAUAUACCAAAAGGCUCUUAUUUCAUUGUUGUGAUAUUGAUGAUUCUGAAACACAUUGUUGAUGUACCAAUGAGUCUUUAUUACAUCGUUAUUGUAUAGAAGGUCUAUUACUUGGUUCCUAUUGAUGUAUCAUUGUUUCAAAGUAUCAAAAAUGUGGUGGCGACCGAAAUAACAAUCUCAAAGAUUAAUUGAACUAAGUGAUGGAAGUUCUCUCUUAUCGGGUGGUAUCCCAGGGGCAUAAGCCUAGCAUGGGUCGAUCCCUAUUUAUGUGUUUAUGGGUGGUAUCCCAGGGGCAUAAGCCUAGCAUGGGUCGAUCCCAGUUGAUAUGUACUGGAGGCAUCCUAAUGGUCACAGUACAGUACAGUAAUGAUUACAAAGACGAUAAGAACGAAGGUAAAGUGAUUGAAUAAAUACAAUGUACAGGUUGUCACAAGUUCUAGUAAGUGUGGUCCACUCCUAUUACGACUUAUUCACUUGUUUCUGAUUUCUAUUGAGCUCCUAUAUCAUAUGUGAUUAUUUACAGCUUUACAUACUCAGUACAUAUUUCGUACUGACGUCCCUCACGGGGGACCUGCAUUUCAUGCUGCAGGCACAGGUACCUCAGCUCAUACACCGCACAAGUAGGAGCCAGGUCAUACAGCUAUUGUUGGUGAGCUCCAGUUUGCUUCGGAGCUUUCCGAGUCGGUUCCUUAUGUUUUGUUAUUGUACAUGAGUCAUGUGUGGGCGGGGGUUUGUCCCGACCCUAGUUAUGUCAUGUAUAUCCUAGAGGCUUUGUAGACAUAAGGAAGGGUAAAGUCAUGGAAGUUUAUAUAGUGAUGUUAUAUCUGUAUAUGUGGUGGCCCC
rnacentral:lncRNA from 1 species